rnacentral:rRNA from 1 species
CCUACGGGGGGCAGCAGUGAGGAAUAUUGGUCAAUGGACGAGAGUCUGAACCAGCCAAGUAGCGUGAAGGAUGACUGCCCUAUGGGUUGUAAACUUCUUUUAUAUGGGAAUAAAAUGUUCCACGUGUGGGAUUUUGUAUGUACCAUAUGAAUAAGGAUCGGCUAACUCCGUGCCAGCAGCCGCGGUAAUACGGAGGAUCCGAGCGUUAUCCGGAUUUAUUGGGUUUAAAGGGAGCGUAGGUGGAUUGUUAAGUCAGAUGUGAAAUCCAGGGGCUCAACCCCUGAACUGCAUUUGAAACUGUCGCU